rnacentral:rRNA from 1 species
AACAGGGAUUGCCCUAGUAACGGCGAGUGAAGCGGCAACAGCUCAAAUUUGAAAGCUAGCCUUCGGGUUCGCAUUGUAAUUUGUAGAGGAUGAUUUGGGGAAGCCGCCUGUCUAAGUUCCUUGGAACAGGACGUCAUAGAGGGUGAGAAUCCCGUAUGUGACAGGAAAUGGCACCCUAUGUAAAUCUCCUUCGACGAGUCGAGUUGUUUGGGAAUGCAGCUCUAAAUGGGAGGUAAAUUUCUUCUAAAGCUAAAUAUUGGCGAGAGACCGAUAGCGCACAAGUAGAGUGAUCGAAAGAUGAAAAGCACUUUGGAAAGAGAGUUAAAAAGCACGUGAAAUUGUUGAAAGGGAAGCGCUUGCAAUCAGACUUGUUUAAACUGUUCGGCCGGUCUUCUGACCGGUUUACUCAGUUUGGACAGGCCAGCAUCAGUUUCGGCGGCCGGAUAAAGGCUCUGGGAAUGUGGCCUCCACUUCGGUGGAGGUGUUAUAGCCCAGGGUGUAAUACGGCCAGCCGGGACUGAGGUCCGCGCUUCGGCUAGGAUGCUGGCGUAAUGGUUG